GAACAUUUCAGAGCUCAAACUGCCUCUAAUGUAAAAUAAUUCCUAUCUGAUUAGAUCCAGGAAUUGGCCAAUUGUUGUAUGUUCUCUACAUAAUGACACCUAUACUUGGAUUUAUUCUAUGUGGCUUCAUAUUAGCUGUUUACAUCUGCAGAAAACUUGGGGCCAGGACUCAAACUCAGAAUGAGUUUCAGCAUCAAUCAGAAGGAAGGGUGGAUCGUUCUCAAACACAAGGUGACAUGAAUCAUAGGUCUAACAGGAGGAGUCAGUACAUGGAGAGAUUCAAUUCAAUAUAUGAUUUCAACUAAAAUGAAAAAUCACUGAAACACAAGCUCCGGGUGGCUGAGACUCAGGACACCGGCUGCCCCCGUUGCAGAGUAGAGCGUUUCAUGGCAGCUCUGCCACCGUUGGUCUGUAUGUGAAAGUUGAAUGAGAAGCAACAUUCAAAGGUCUUUGGCUACAGAUAAGGUAGAAAAUGUUAUAUGAAUGCACACGUUUCCAUUUUAAACCAGGUGCACGAAGGGAAGAUCAGCAGAGGGACGACAACAGCUCCAGUGGGCUCAUCAGUAAUUAACACAAUAACACCUUCACUAGAUUUGUGGACAUGUUUUUCUAUUCAUAUUGUUUUGUAUUAAUUCACUGUGUGAUUAAUGUUGUAGAUAUCUUCGUAUGUUUUACUGAUUGUAUGUUUUGUUGAAUGCUGUUCUGAUGGCAUCGAGGUCAUAAUAGGGUUUGUUCUGAAACAAAAUAAAAGUAACUUCAAACUGGUGUUUUGUGCCCUCUAUGGUUCAGUAAAGGAACUUUAUGUUUCAUGGA
rnacentral:lncRNA from 1 species